GUCCCAGGAAGAACAAACCAGCAAAAUCCUGAUGCAGUAUCAGGCCCGACUGGAGCAGAGUGAGAAGAGGCUAAGGCAGCAGCAGGCAGAGAAGGAUUCCCAGAUCAAGAGCAUCAUUGGCAGGCUGAUGCUGGUGGAGGAGGAGCUGCGCCGGGACCACCCCGCCAUGGCUGAGCCGCUGCCAGAACCCAAGAAGAGGCUGCUCGACGCUCAGCUCCUCAUCAGGUAAUUCUCCUGGUUCCGCUUUGGCCACGGGCGGAGGACACAGGGGGAGGUGACUCCGGACCACUGCAGGUUGGUCGUGAAGCCCACUCCCUCCAACACCUCCGGAGCCUCUCCCCUCUCACUGCUGCCCUCCACACCCAGAGAACCUCCACAGACUCCAGCCCUCCGACACCUGCACAGAUCCAUCUCCCAAGACACCACCCAAAGAGAGCAUUUGCUGCUGCUUCCCAGAACUGUCCAACAAUACCUUAGCA
rnacentral:misc_RNA from 1 species